UCCAGGGCUGUGUUGGGACAGGAAGACUCUAGGUAGAGGUCCGUGUGUGUGUGUGUGUGUGUGUUACCUCCAGGGCUGUGUUGGGACAGGAAGACUCUAGGUAGAGGUCCGUGUGUGUGUGUGUGUGUUACCUCCAGGGCUGUGUUGGGACAGGAAGACUCUAGGUAGAGGUCCGUGUGUGUGUGUGUUACCUCCAGGGCUGUGUUGGGACAGGAAGACUCUAGGUAGAGGUCCGUG